rnacentral:tRNA from 1 species
GCCUGUAGCUCAUCUGGAUUAGAGCACCGGACUUCGAAUCCGGUGGUAGCAGGUUCGAAUCCUGUCAGACCC